rnacentral:rRNA from 1 species
CCUACGGGGGGCAGCAGUGAGGAAUAUUGGUCAAUGGGCGAGAGCCUGAACCAGCCAAGUCGCGUGAGGGAGUACUGCCCUAUGGGUUGUAAACCUCUUUUGUCGGGGAGCAAAAGCCGGACGUGUCCGUCUGUGAGAGUACCCGAAGAAAAAGCAUCGGCUGACUCCGUGCCCGCAGCCGCGGUAAUACGGAGGAUGCGAGCGUUAUCCGUAUUUAUUGGUUUUACAGGGAGCGUAGGCCGGCUUUUAAGUCAGCUGUGAAAGUCCGCG